CAGAGAAAGUGAGGAGUAUCAGGGUACCCCCAUAAAAAUAACAGCCUGUGCACCGCUCCCUUGCCCACAGCUCAGGUCACACCUGGGGCUCUGGCAAAGAUGAGCUUGGCUCAGGAGAUUUCCCUGUCGCCAGGGACUGAUGACUAGGCGAGAGGCACCGGGGCCGAGCCACUAGUUGCCCACAGGAACCCGUGUAAGCCGAGCUCUCAAGUGGCUGAGUUGAAUGAAGUUAUGACUGCGUUUGCUCUAAUGGGUUAUGGCUUCCCAAAUGCGAUUGGUGUGGAUCUAUCAUCAUUGUCAAUAGCAAGAAAUGGGGCAGGAAGAGUGACCAGACAACUCUCCUAUGUUCCCUGUUCUCUUUCCAUAAAGCGAACCCAGCAGAAGUCUACAUUGUUGUAUAAUAAAAUAUGCUAUUGAAGCUGAGCUGUCUGCCAGAAAGAACGUGAUCAUGUAAGCAAAGAAUCCAAUGGGAAGAAGACAUGAAGAUGCCCUACUUUGCACUAGCCUCUGAUUUGGCAGGAAGAAAAUGGAGAAAAGAGAAGAUGAGAGGCUUAUUGUCUCUUACAGUUGGUGAGCAACAAGGGAAAGAGAGUACAAAUUAUAUGUGUUAGAGAGCUCUUCCUGGGAUCCAAAAAACUUGGAACCCAUGGCAGGAAUAAGAAAAGACGAGUCAUGGGAGAAACAGAGCAAGGGAGAAGUGGUAGAAGAUGCUCCUUAGAUCGGAACUUAACACAGAGGAAGAGAAAUCCAUUAUCUAAUAUGCAAAUGCAGGCUUUGAUAGUUGCCCAGUGUGGUGGUUUGAAUGAAAAUGUCCCCCAUAGACUCCAAGUAUUUGGACCUUUUGUCCCCAGAUGGUGGUGCUUUUUUGGGAGGUUUUAGAAGGU